GACGAACGCUGGCGGCGCGCUUAACACAUGCAAGUCGAGCGAUGAAAUUUCGACAGAUCCCUUCGGGGUGAAGAUGAAAUGGAUUAGCGGCGGACGGGUGAGUAACACGUGAGUAACCUGCCUUUGACAUUGGGAUAGCCUCGGGAAACUGGGAUUAAUACCAAAUGACACUAACUGAUCACAUGAUCAAUUAGUCAAAGAAAUUCGGUCAAAGAUGGACUCGCGGCUGAUUAGCUAGUUGGUGAGGUAACGGCCCACCAAGGCGACGAUCAGUAGCCGGCCGGAGAGGGGGAUCGGCCACAUUGGAACUGAGACACGGUCCAAACUCCGACGGGAGGCAGCAGAGGGGAAUAUUGCACAAUGGGGGAAACCCUGAUGCAGCGACGCCGCGUGAGCGAAGAAGGCCUUCGGGUCGUAAAGCUCUUUUAUGAGAGAAGAUAAUGACGGUACCUCAAGAAAAAGCCCCGGCUAACUACGUG
rnacentral:rRNA from 1 species